GUUUGCACUUGUCGGGGAAGGGUGAGAACCUUCGAUUAAGGUUCGACUCGAGCGAAAGCGAGAGAACGUUGCCAACGGCAACGGCCCGAAGGGUGAGGAGCGAAGCGACGAAUAAUCCUUCACCCACCACCA
rnacentral:sRNA from 2 species